rnacentral:rRNA from 1 species
AUUGACCGCUGGCGGUAGGCCUAACACAUGCAAGUCGAGCGGAGCGGCGGACGGGUGAGUAAAGCCUGGGCAUCUGACUGGUAGUGGGGGAUAGCGUCCGGAAACGGGCGCUAAUCCCGCAUACUAUCAGAUGAACCUAGGUCGGCUUAGCUAGUUGGUGGGGUAAAGGCCUCCCAAGGCGACGAUCCGUAACUGGUCUGAGAGGAUGAUCAGUCACACUGGAACUGAGACACGGUCCAGACUCCUACGGGAGGCAGCAGGGGGGAAUAUUGGACAAUGGGCGAAAUCCUGAUCCAGCCAUGCGGCGUGUGUGAAGAAGGUCUUCGGAUUGUAAAGCACUUUAAGUUGGGAGGCGUUACCAACAGAAGAAGCACCGGCUAACUUCGUGCCAGCAGCCGCGGUAAUUC